GGAUUAUGGAGGAGAAAGCAAGAGGAGCCCACCAGGGCUUUAGAUGCCAAAGAAGUCUGUUUUCAUGCACAUGACCCUUCAGGUCAGCUUUGGUCAACUCAACUUUGUUAGCAAAAGAAUGGAAAAAAGCGAAAACAAUAAACCAGAGAUAGCACAAUCACCAAUUGUGGAAGACUCCAUCUAUG